rnacentral:rRNA from 1 species
UACAGAGGUUCCAAGCGUUGUUCGGAUUCACUGGGCGUAAAGGGUGCGUAGGCGGUCGGGUAAGUCUGAUGUGAAAUCUCACAGCUUAACUGUGAAACUGCAUUGGAUACUAUCCGGCUUGAGGAAUGGAGGGGAGACUGGAAUACUUGGUGUAGCAGUGAAAUGCGUAGAUAUCAAGUGGAACACCAGUGGCGAAGGCGAGUCUCUGGACAUUUCCUGACGCUGAGGCACGAAAGCCAGGGGAGCAAACGGG